rnacentral:rRNA from 1 species
AAUGGGGGAAACCCUGAUGCAGCCAUGCCGCGUGUGUGAAGAAGGCCUUCGGGUUGUAAAGCACUUUCAGACGUGAGGAAGGGUUGGUAGUUAAUACCUGCCAACAUUGACGUUAGCGUCAGAAGAAGCACCGGCUAACUCCGUGCCAGCAGCCGCGGUAAUACGGAGGGUGCGAGCGUUAAUCGGAAUUACUGGGCGUAAAGCGCACGCAGGCGGUCAUAUAAGCUAGAGGUGAAAGCCCCGCGCUCAACGUGGGAAUUGCCUUUAGAACUGUAUGACUAGAGUCUUGGAGAGGGGGGUGGAAUUCCAGGUGUAGCGGUGAAAUGCGUAGAGAUCUGGAGGAACAUCAGUGGCGAAGGCGGCCCCCUGGCCAAAGACUGACGCUCAUGUGCGAAAGUGUGGGUAGCGAGCAGGAUU